rnacentral:rRNA from 1 species
AACGAACGCUGGCGGCAUGCCUAACACAUGCAAGUCGAACGAGACCUUCGGGUCUAGUGGCGCACGGGUGCGUAACGCGUGGGAACCUGCCCUUAGGUUCGGAAUAACUCCCCGAAAGGGGUGCUAAUACCGGAUAAUGUCUUCGGACCAAAGAUUUAUCGCCUUUGGAUGGGCCCGCGUUGGAUUAGCUAGUUGGUAGGGUAAAAGCCUACCAAGGCGACGAUCCAUAGCUGGUCUGAGAGGAUGAUCAGCCACACUGGGACUGAGACACGGCCCAGACUCCUACGGGAGGGAGCAGUGGGGAAUAUUGGACAAUGGGCGAAAGCCUGAUCCAGCAAUGCCGCGGGAGUGAUGAAGGCCUUAGGGUUGUAAAGCUCUUUUACCCGGGAUGAUAAUGACAGUACCGGGAGAAUAAGCUCCGGCUAACUACGUG